CCUAGAGUGUCACAUGCCUCAGCUGCAAGGAUUUCCUGGUUGGUCUCCACAUCUGAAGAAACUUCCUUUAAGAAAAAUCCCAUACUGUCAGGCACGGGUGCGGAUGCUCCAUGGUCAGGCUCGUCAGCCUCCAUCAGGGCUGAAUCCUAAAGAAGAAUACAAAACAGUUUCCAAUGCCUCACCUGUGUCUGUGUACAUGGGGAGAGAUCAUGAAGAAGAUGAAUGGGAAACGUCUUCAGUUCAAUUCAGGAUCAUUCUUCAAGACAGAGACAGCCGCUGUUAAACGGAAAGAUAGCCCCACUUACUCUAUUCUACGCGGUCCGUAAAGCUGUGCUACCUUCAUUAUGACGCUGUCUUCUCCCUAACACCAGUUGUAUAAUUAUGCGAUCUGAUUUAACCUUAAUUUCGGCCAGUGAAUGACCAGGUGUGCGAGGCAUGCUUUCUUCAGUUGCCUACACAGUAGGCCCACGGCAGACAGGGCACAGCAUCACAGGAAACUGGCUUCUCUCCAGAUCAGAGACAUUUCGCAUCUUCAAGACACCACGCCGUGUAACUUUUUAGGAGGCAAAGCCCCAAGUCACCCCAUUAACAGUACGGAACACAGAAGACCUCCCCAGUCUCCUCCAGACACUCCCUCAACACCUUAGCUCUUGCCCGUUUCUAACCACCAGGAGGAAAACACAUCUCCUGCCUUCAAUCCAAAAGACACUCUCUUAUUUUCAUUUAGCCCAUGCAAUCACCCCACAGAUACGCAACUUGAUUCAGUGUUUGAAAUGACUGCCCUCAGUAGUCCAAAGACACCAAAAUAAGGGUACAAUGACACCACUACCGAGACCUGUCCAACCAACUUGGUGGAGAAUGGAAUAAACAUCUUUUACUCUCUCAUGUACUAAACAUCAUCAACUGCCUCAGAGGACAGAUGGUCUCAUAUAGGAAUAUUCUAAGCGAGGAUGUUUACGUCCUCAGGCCCACCUGUGGCGUGGGGCCAUCCACUCGGGUAAGGUGUGACUUGAUUAUCCUGGGUGACACUGUUCCUUUGUGUACUUUAUAGGCACUCUGAGUGGCCAGCUUACUCUCCACACAGAGAGUAGGGAGUCCCGUUCACAACCAAGGCUGUCAAUCACCUGUUUGUUUCUAUACCAUUUUGUUCAAAACACCACGAGAGAGCCCAUGUGAGCCCACACCAGAGUAAGUGACGAUUCCAGACACCACAAAUGAUGUCUUCUUGUCUAUCCCGAAGACAGACGAGUGCAUAAAGUGACCACAGACAACCUCAGACAAAUCACAUUAUGGGCAGCCA